UCUCUCUCUCUCUGCCCCUUCCCCACUCACACUCUGUCUGUCUCUCAAAAAUAAACAUUAAAAAAAAAAGAAGUUGUAGAGAUUAAAUUUUUGGUAUUAUUACAUUUAUAAGAAACUGAAAUUGAGAUAUGUACUGGUGAAGAAACUAGACUAAGAGCCUAUAUGUAUUGCUAGGGGCACUUGCUGCAAGGCCAAAACACUUUUCUGUCUUCCAGUAUUUGACCUUGGACUGUUUCAUCUUAGUGAUCCAAACCAGGAUGAUUCUAUGGAUUGGUACACAUAAAGCUAAAAGCUUUUGACUUGUUUCCUUUCUUCCUCCAUGAAGUAGUAAUAGAAAUUACCUUUUCUUGAAAAAAAUAAAAAUAAAAAAUACUUUAAUGCCCGAUUUUAGUUUUGAAAAUCCAGAAUCAGAAAUAUAAAAGGCAUGUUUCUUCUGAAAUUAUUCUCCAACUGGUAAUAAGCAAUUUUUUUUAUUCCACAUAUAAGUGAAAUCAUAUGGUAUUGGUUAUUUCUUUCUUUAACUUAUUUCACUUCGCAUAGGGUCCUCAAGGUAAUGGACCCCCCUCUUGAUAAAGUGUUAAAGAAUUUGUGGCCAUCUUCAAUUGCAACAGAUCCUUAAAAAGUUAGAAAUUCUCUGUGAAUGGCUAGGGGCCAUACUUCCACACCCCAAUACCACCGGUCUGGUCUCCCUGUAUAAUGAACAUCAUCAGGCAACAGCUUUGGAGUUUUCCUUGGGAUCCAGACCCAAGUAACUAGGUAAGUCUGCACCAAACAAAAUCCACUGUGUCCACUGCCCACCAUGAGCACUGUCAUCGGCAUUGAAUUAAAGUGUAUAAGGGAUUUCUUAAAUCCUGAUUAUGAAUACUCAGAGUAGGGUUCUUUCCAGGUCACACUGGGCUAGCUAGUUUAUUCUCUAUUCUUAGCUAGUUUCUCCACUGAAAAGAUAGAACCAGUCUAUACCACUCAGAUCUUGAUGGAAAACACAUAUUUUUUUGAGAAAACAUAUUUUAAGUGCUCUGUUACAACUGGAUAAAAAGGACUUUGUUAAUGUAAAUUCUGAUCUCUCAUAGCUGAACAGCUCUAAUUCAUGCAUGCAUUUUCCUGGUGCCUCCAGAGUUAUCCAAGGGUAACCAGAUUUUUUUUCCCCCCUGGGCAAAGCCCAGGGUUGAGGUUCUGGGGUAUAGUUAGAACAAGAUUUUAUUAGGUCCUCCUUAGCUCCUCCAGGCAAGGAGGACUUCUAUGUUAAAUCAUUAGUUUAUAGUUCUGGGGAAUUUUAGCUAAAAUUUUAAAAGUACAAUUUAAUGGUUUAAUAUUAUACUUCAUUAUAAAAUCUAACAUGUAUUAAAAAAACUAAGCAGUUCAAAAUUUAAAAUAAUAAAAUGGAAUAUAAAACAGUGCUAGCUGGCAAAUUAUUGGGACUUGGCAUAGUAUUUGGCACUUUUGAAACAACCCAAAGCAAUCUCUGCAUUACUGAUUAUCUAUGUUAAUAUAAUGAAAAAGUAGGUCUCCAUUUAUCCUCAUAAAUCGGUCUCUCUCAGUCAUGCAUGUAGCACCUAAGUCAACUGUGAAGCUUUUAACAAAUAGCAAAUGCCUGGACUUUACACCCAGAGAUUUUGAUCUGGCAGGUUACACCAUUUAAAACUCCAAGUGAUUUCGAUACACAGAAAACUUAGAAAACCACUAGCUAGAAACAAGAGGACAAAAGUCACUCUGAAGCAAUUUCUCAAACUCAGCACUUUCAACAUCUGGGGCCAGAUAAAUCUUUGUCACAGGGGCUUGUCCUGUGCGCAGGGUAUUUAGCAGCAGCUCUUGCCUCCAUCCUUUGGAUGCCAGCAACAAGUUCCCUGGAGACAAAGUCAAAACUAGUUACAAACCACUGCUCUGAGGACUGACAUGAAAAUAAAUAAGGUUAUACUCUUCAACUGACACAUAGGGAUUUGGGGAGAGCAGUCUUUCCAGAUAAUGGGAAGUAGUUCCAGCUCUAAAAUUCCCAUCCCAGUCAUGACAUAAUCUUUCUUAAUCCUUCCUUCAAGUACCUCAUUUUCUAUCUACCCUUUAUUACUAAUACCUCCUGCUCUGAAUGCCUGAAGUCAUUCUUCAUCUAUUACAGUGUAGUAAGAAUUCUCCUCCAUUACAUCCCAUCUGCUUUCUUGCAUAUACUUUCACCUCCAAUCUCAAGACUGUUCAUUAAACUUUUAUUGGGUUUAUAUUCAAAAGGGUCCCAUCCUGAGGCCAAGUGAUGGCAUAUGGAGAGUGGUGACAAACCAUUUACCCUCAGCAACUGCUCUGCAUCUGAACUAGGUCUCUUUUUUCCGGCUACCACAGCCUUGAAGAUCAGUACUUUGAAAGAAUGACCUUUUACUGAAUGAAAUAUGCCCCGUCUGAAGGCAACAAGUCCAGGAAGCAGGAAAACAUAACUCCUGUAAAUAAUGCACUGUGACACUUCUGCCUUUUGAUGAGGCUUUAGAAGGACUUUACUGGCUAUCUAAUAAACCUCUGUAACUAUUUUAACAGGUAUCUAUCACACAGAUCCUGUCAAAAGCCUAUAUAGGGGACAAUUGUUUUCCAUGAUUAAUGUUCUCCUCUACAUGUUAACAAUAUCUCAAGAUUCUCCAGACUCUAAUCCCACUGUCCAGUCAGUUCACACAGGACUAUACAUCCUCUGUCCUUAUCUACUACAAAAUUACCUUGAUAGAAUUAACACAUGCCUUCGGCCUUUUUUUUUUUUUUUUUUUUACUAGAGCAGUAUAAUAGCAAUACAGGUGUAGAAUAUCCUUGUAUUUUUUCUAAAUUGUCAUUGAUGAAAUUAUCCAGUACAUUGCUUAAUGUCCUUUAAAUAAAGACCCAGGUGACAAAUUCUCCUGAAAAUUAGGAAGAAAUAACCUCUCUCCUGACCAAGUGGCAUACUUCCUAUUACAGAGCAAUGAAUAUUAAAGAGCUCUCCCAUUUUCCUUUUUUGCAUGAUUACUAGGAGUACAGACCUAAAUUCCUUGCUCCAUUCCAGUAAAUUUCCUCAGUUAAGAACUUCAGGCAAAGCUAUUCUCUUCUCCCCCAUUUUUGGGUCUCCUUUUUAAUCUUUUUACUUUUGUUAAUGAUUUUCAGGUGAAUUUUUAUUACAGACUGCUCAAGAUCCACACUAGAGAUAAGGAGGCUAUGUACAUUUACAAAUGCAAAUGUUAAAAAAAUAUGUGAAUUUGUUCAAUAUGCAUGUUUUCCUCGCUUGAAUUUUGAUGUCUUGGAGAAUACAUUUAAAAAAUCACCUGAAAUCCAUUAAUCUAGGCCUUAUUCUUUAUACUGUUUUCUAACUUAUUUAAAAAUGAUGGAUGGCUAUAUAAUGGAUGGAUUAAUAUUAUUGGGGACAAAAAUCAAUAUGAGGAAAAGAGAAAAAUCACAUCUCUAUAUUCAAGUGGGUGGGUUUACAGAAUCACACGCAGUAAUUCCUGCAACAGGACUCAAGUGUCUUGUGCUCCUACCCCAUUCUAAUUGUGAGGAAAAUUAAAUUUCAUCCCACUGCUAUUUACUGGGGUUUUGCUUUGAAAAGUGCACUAAAUAAUUCAGCUCCCAAACGGACUCAGAUUUUAAACCCAUUUUGGUCUUGGUAGGCUGUGGUGUAAUCAUUAUCCCAAGAGCGUCAGCCUCCUUCGAAGUGUUAGACCCAGCCCCAUUUUGUCCUUGAUUUCCCGAUGCUUGCUCUUUUCUUGGUGUAUUCCCUGAGUUCACAACUCCUACCAAGGUUUCACUUCUCUUCGUCCCAUCUAAGACAGAUGUUCCAGAACCAGAACUCGGUUUGUCCAUCCGUCCCCUAACUCUGCCUCCCCUACAGCCACGUUUUACUGUAACAGAACCCUGCUUUACUUUCUCGUAGUACAUCAGUCUUCCGGCCUCGAAGCAUCAGGGCCCCCUCCUUCCUUCAGCUCUCCGGGUCCCGUCCCUGAUCGGUCUGGUCUCCCCACGUGGGGCCGCCCGCUGCCACGGCCGCCAUCUUCCCUCCCUCACCGACAUCAACCCCGAGCUGUCGGAAGCCACUCUCAAUAGAUCGCAGAACGAGCGAGCCACCUCGUAACCGAAAACACGCGGCGACCGCAAGUCCAGGGAGGCCUUCCUUCUCCAGCCAUGCCCCCACCUCCUGUGACGGACGCAAGACAUUACUAAUCGAUGGCCGCACUCCCGCCGGCGACGAUCGUUGCCACUGGCAACGGCAAGCCCAGGCUGGAGGUCUGAAUCCUGUACCCCCUCCCCAAGAGCUGUUUUCUUCUUCUGUGAGCCUUGGAGCUGCACGCGCAAUAGGGUGUAUCUCUUGGAUGUGUUCGACGUCUUGGCAUGUAUUUUCUUUGACGCUCAGUGAUCAAAUCUAUAAUAAUAAGCUUCAAGCCUCAAGCAUUAAUAACUGAGGAGAAACAGAACUGUGAUUUCUGUAGGCGCUAACACCUACAGCUUCUCAAAGUGUGGUUCUCCUGGUACCCCCUGGUAGUUCCUGAGACCCUUUCAGUAAUUGGCCAGGUCGGAGCCAUUUUCAUGGCAAUGCUAAUAUAUAUUUGCCUCUUUCACUGUGCUGACAUUUGCACCAAUGGUGCAAAAACCAUGGCGGUAAAAGUGCAGGUGUCUUAGGAAGAAUCAAGGCGGCGGUACCACACUGUAAAAGCCAGUGUCACUUAAGAGUGUUCUCAAUAAAGCAGUAAAAACUA